UGGACAGAUCUGUGGGUUGCUGUGACCAGCACAUACUACAACGUUCUCCACCACCUUGAAGAAGAGGGAUUCCUCAGCAUUGCGAGUGUUCAACACCUCUUCUGCUGCCACUAUGUAUUUUUACCACGUAUACAGGAUGACCUGGACACUUUCUGCAGUGGUUGGGAUAAUCAUCCUUUAAGAGCAGAAAGUAACAUGACUCCUAACCAGCUGUGGGUACUGGGUCGUGCACGUCAUCCCAUUCCCGAACCAGAGAACAUGGAGGGCAUGGAGAUUCCACAUAUUGAGUGGGAGGAGAGUGGACUUCCUCAUCAGGACCAUUCAGAUGUCGUUGUGCCAAACAUCAACUGCCCACUGACAGAUGAACAAAUGGCAGCUUUAAGAAGUGCAGUUGACCCAAGAGCUGAAUCAGACUCCUUUGGCUCUGAUGUUUACAUUGCAGCUGUUCAGUUUUGUGAACAUUUUUUUCCACAAUAAAGGAAAAACAAAUCUGUUAA